UGGGGAAUCUUGCGCAAUGGGCGAAAGCCUGACGCAGCGACGCCGCGUGAGCGAUGAAGGCCUUCGGGUUGUAAAGCUCUGUGGGGAGGAAAGAAUAAGUGCGGGCUAAUCACCGCAUGAUGACGGUACCUCCUUAGCAAGCACCGGCUAACUCUGUGCCAGCAGCCGCGGUAAGACAGAGGGUGCAAACGUUGUUCGGAAUCACUGGGCGUAAAGCGCGUGUAGGCGGUCAUUCAAGUCGGAUGUGAAAUCCCGUGGCUCAACCACGGAAGAGCACCCGAAACUGAGAGACUAGAGUCCUGGAGAGGAAGGCGGAAUGCUUGGUGUAGAGGUGAAAUUCGUAGAUAUCAAGCGGAACACCGGUGGCGAAGGCGGCCUUCUGGACAGUGACUGACGCUGA
rnacentral:rRNA from 1 species